GAUCAUGAAUCAGGAUUAUUUUAUAGAACAAUCUUUUAUUUCCCUACAGGUAAUUUUAUAUUCAGUGUUUGAUAGGAGAAUAUAUCUGAAAAAUUACUAUUUUAUUUUUUCUUUUAAUCCUUAAUGACACUUUCCUAUCUGCUGGUGUACUCACUAAAAUUUUCCUUAUACUUUUCUCAGUCAUAUGGUAACAUGAUUAUGCCAUUAGCAAUAGCAUUUUCUGUAUUCUUUUUUUUUAAUUUUUAAAAAUUUUUAUUUGUUUUGCUUUUUAGGGGGCUGCAUUUGUGGCAUAUGGAAAUUCCAAGGCUAGGAAUCGAAUUGGACCUGCAGCUGCUGGCCACCCCACAGACACAGUAAUGCCAGAUCUGAGCCACAUCUGUGACCUACAUCGCAGCUUGCAACCUAUGCCGCAGCAUGCCGGAUCCUUAACCCACUGAGCGAGGACAGGGUCAAACCCACAUUCUCAUGGAUAUUGCUGGUAUUCUUAACCUGCUGAGCCACAACGGAAACUCCUUUUAUUGAUAUUUGAGAUAAAUUCUGAAGUCUGAAUAACAGUCACUUGUCAGUGAAGAUGAGGGAAAGGAAAAAGGAAGAAAUAUCUUAAAAAUUUUCCUCUGCUGUCAAAAUUUCACUUUAUUGCCUUAAAAUAUUAGAAUAAGAUAAAAAGCAAGCUAAGUGAAUUAUGUAAUUAUAAAUUAAAGAUAUCUCUAGUAUUUGAAGUGCGUUUUAGAAAAGAAAUCUUACUUUUUCUAUAGAAUUGAGACUUCCAGAACACCCAAUCCACUUCUCACAGAUGAUAGAACUAAAUCCCAGAACAACUAAAUAGGUAGCCCAAGCUUUCUCAGUGUUUGAGCCAAGAGUUAACUCAGGUGGUUCUGAGUGGCAGUACUGUUUGCCUGUACCAAGGUUACUUUCAGUUAGAUAGCCUCUCACCUAAGCAGCAACCUAAGUGGGGAAAUAAGGGGAAGAUUCAUAAGCAAGAAACCUCUCCACUAGUGUCUCCAGGAAUGGCAGACAUCCCUGGUUAUCUCAUAUUCUGUGGUUCAGUUACGGUUUUGUCUGAGUUUAGAAGGUGGCCCGUAUAUCUAAAGUUUGUUUUUAAAAGGUGUCAGAGACUGUGGAAACUUAUGGCAUAUGUGCAUGAGUCUCCUUUAUUAACCUCUUAGACCCCAGGAGAGCAGCUGCUGAACUCUGUCUGGAGUCACUGGUCAUCAUGGUGGUUUCCUCUGGAAGAAUUUAUAGUACUAUUUUCUGAGCUAUUACUUGUUCAGAGACCUUAGGGGGUGGAAGUGGGGUGGGGCAGUACUCUUGACAUUGUUGCCUCCUGCAUGGUGGGGAGAGAGGGGAAAUUAGCUGUCCCCUGCCAGGUGGAAAUUGCACAUCUGUGGAUAGGGGUUCUAUUUUACAGAGUUGUGAAAUCACACAAAGACAUUGCAAAGCUCAAAGCCUUCUUAGAAUCAUAGCCUGGGUGUGUGGGAUGGUGUCUUGGUUUUUCAUUGAAAACACCCAGUUAUCUUUGGUCUAUUCAGAAUCUUUCACAAAUUUUUUUCCUAUAAUAACCUGGCGUCGUAUAUUCAGUUCAUGAAUGCCAGUAAAGGUUCUAGAGCAGGCUUGCUGGAUGUAACAGGUAUGACUAUCUAAAAUAUCUUUAACAAAAGUAUUAUUGUUUUUUUAUCUUUUUUUUUUUUUAAAGACUCAGUUAGCACCGUAAUUGAAGCUCUAAGUAAAAUAGAUUCUUCAGAUGGAGGAAUUUCAGCAAAUAAUCUCAGUCAUGCAACUUCAGCAGCCCCAUCAGGACUUGUAAGUGGGGGAGAAAACCUAAAGCUCUUCCUUCUCUGCAGAUUUUUUUCUUUACUUUUCUCUUCUUUUCUUUUACACACACACAAAAUCAUUUUCCAAGCUCUUAACUAAUUUUUUUUUUCUUUUUAACUUCUUAGGGCCUCAUCUGUGGCUUAUGGAGGUUCCCAGGCUAGGGGUCGAAUUGGAGCUGUAGCUGCCAGCCUACACCACAGCCACAGCAACAUGGGAUCCGAGCUACAUCUGCCACCUACACCACAGCUCAUGGCAAUGCUGGAUCCUUAACCCGUUGAGCAAGGCCAGGGAUUGAACCGGCAUCCUCAUGAAUACUAGUCAGGUUCAUUAACCAUUGAACCACAACAGGAACUCCAAGCUAUUAACUUAUUGUUAAUAGGAAAGAUAAGUGACCAUAAAAUUUUCUAUAAAACAUGUACUAGAUAUUUAUAGAAUUUGAAUGAACUUAAGGCUAAAAUAUUAAAUGUAACUUACCUUCUUCAGUGUAAUAGACAAUGGUUUUUUUUUGAGCAUUUUUGAUAAUCCCACUUUAGCCACUUUCUACCUUUUUAGAAAAGGAUGUUUGAUUUAGUGCCUCUUUUAAGUUCAUUUAAGUUUUUUAACAUAAAAGGAGUUUUUUAACCCUUUUUGAGGUUUUUUUUUUUUUUUUUUGUCUUUUUAGGGCUGCACCCAUGGCAUAUGGAGGUUCCCAGGCUAGGGGUCUAAUCGGAGCUAUAGCUGCCGGCCUGCACCACAGCUACAGCAACGCCAGAUCUGAGCCGUGUCUGCAACCUACACCACAGCUCAUAGCAACGCCAGAUCCUUAACCCACUGAGCGAGACGAGGCCAGGGAUUCAACCUGAAACCUCAUGGUUUCUAGUUGGAUUCGUUUCCGCUGCGCCAUGAUGGGAACUCCUCUGAGUUUUUUAAGGAAGAGCAUUGAUAGAUUACAUUUUGAAAGUAUUUCAACAUAAUUGCAAGUUGUGUCAGAAAUUCUAAUAGAUUUGUGGUUAUAGCUUACGUGAAGUUUGCUGAUUUACUGCCUCCAGUACUUCUUUCAAAAAGUUGAAGUUUGCUGAUUUACUGCCUCCAGUACUUCUUUCAAAAAGUUAGAGCAUGUGGGGAGUUCCCAUUGUGGCUCAGCUGUAACAAACCUAACCAGUAUCCAUGAGGAUGCACGUUCAAUCCCUGCCCUUGCUCAGUGGGUUAAGGGUCUGGGUUGUUGUGGCUGUGGCAUAGGCCGGCAGCUACAGCUCUGAUUUGACCCCUAGCCUGGAAACUUCCAUAUGCUGUGAGUGCGGCCCUAAAAAGACCAAAAAAAAA
rnacentral:lncRNA from 1 species